GGCUCUGCAUUUUGUUGUUGAUGAUGUUAGCAUUCUGGCCCGACACAAGAUACACCGCAUCAUCAGCAUAAGUAGCCAGCAUUUGGUUGCUUGUAGUAGGAGGGGUUGGUAUGUCAGCAGUGUAUACAUUAUACAGUACAGGUCCAAGAACACUGCCUUGUGGAACUCCGGCCGAGACUGUCUUCAAUGAGGAUGUGGCUUUAUAUGUAGUGACCUUGAACGUUCUGUUAGCUAAGUACGAAGUAAGUAACUUGAGAAGUCUUUCCGGUAAUAGUUUUUUCAGCUUGUAGAUAAGUCCAUCAUGCCAAACACGAUCAAACGCUUCCUGGACAUCAAGAUAGACUGCCGAGCAGUGCAUCUUUUCCUCUUGCGAUUUAAGGAUGAAUUGGGUCACUCUACCAAUCUGCUGUUCAGCCGAGUGCGCCUCCCUAAAUCCAAACUGGUGAUUUGGUAUGGCCUUUUCAAAACUAUCAACCUCAAAUAGACGAUAUAGGAUGAGUUUCUCCAGCAGUUUGGAAAGUCCAGACAGAAGGCUAAUGGGUCUAUAAGAUGACAGCUGAUGAGGUGGUUUACCUGGCUUCAGUAUCAUGGUGACCGAUGCAGUUUUCCAUGCUUUUGGAAAGUGGCCAAACAACAGAGCGGCAUUAAAGAUUAGCGUCAGAUAGGUAAUAGCGGAAGUCGGAAGCGCCUUUAUAGCACGAUUGCAUAUGCGAUCAGGUCCGGGUGACUUUUUUAACUCCAGUUUCUUAAUUGCGUCUUGAACCUCGCUGAUCGAGAACGGUCUGACCUGCUCUUGGUCUGCUGUGCUGGGAAACAGAAGGCCCUCCUCAACUUCCCUUCUGUCUUCUGGUUCUGCAGUGAUUCUGGGAGAAAAGCGCAACUCCAGAUGCUGCGCGAAGGCUUCCGCCUUCUCUUCCGUGCUCUUGCACCAGGGAUCAGCAAGUUCUGGUUGGCCGUCAGGCAAAUGUUUGCGAACAGGAAGGUUCGGGGCAGGUUGCCUCUUAAUGGAGUUUGUAAUAGUCCACAGCUUCUGCAUCUUGUAUCUGUCGGUAGGAUCAAUGCUUUGCAGUAGAUGGUCCAAUUUCCGAGAUUUAAUCAGCUUCACUUGUUUAGAUAUUCUGUUAGAUAGGCUAUUCAAGGUAAGUUUAAGCACAGGGCUUUUGUUUGCCGCGUACAUUUUGCUGAUCAGCUUCUUUGCCUCUAUCAUUUUGAGUGUACGCCUAUCUAGCUGGAGCUGUUGAUGACAAUGCUGAUAGCUAAUGGGCCGUGCAGCACUUUCGGCAGCGUUGAGGAUGUUCCUUUGCAGGAUUUCGACCGCAUCAUCCACGUCCUCACCACAGAGCAGCUCAGUCUCGACAUGAAUGUGUUGAUCGAGGUAGGAUUGAUACUUUUUUAAGUUGGAGCGUUCCGAAAAGAGCAAUUUUUCUUUUACAGGGACUGGCUUCUGAAGGAGUCUGAUGAUCUGUGGAACGUGAUCAGAUCCUAGUUCUUGAGAGGCAGAUAUCUUAAUAAGGUUGGAUCGGAUCCCUUGAUAUACGCAGAAGUCAAUAGCUGAUGGUGCAUGUCUUUUGUUAUUGGGAAAGUGGGUGGGCGAACCAGUGGCAAGGAUGUUAGUGCCACUGGUUUGUAUACAUCUUAAGAGAGUUGUUCCACGUUUGCAGGAUUUGACAUUGCCCCACCACUGGCUUUUGGCAUUCCAGUCACCAGCAACAAUAAAACAGCUGCCCAGCGACUUAAACAGCUCCUUGUAUUGGUCUUCUGUCCACUCGUAGGUGGGAGGGCAGUAUAUAGAGGCAACUCUCAGGGGAGCACCCUUUGGCGUGGUCAGCGAGAUCGAAGCUAUCUGCACCUGAUCUUCAACGCGAGGAAACAGGUUUGAGUGGGCAAUGGUCUUUCUUAUAAGAACUGCUGCACCUCCUUGUCGGCGAUUUCUUGGAUGGUUAGCGGCAUACAUGUGGAAUCCAUCUAUGUUUACAUCAGCAGUAUUAUUCAUGUGUGUUUCACAUAUCAACAGUAUAUCAAUAUGUUGAUUGGCUAGAAAGGUUUCAACUUCUAAGAGCUUAUUGGAUAAGCCCGCAGCAUUCCAGAAGGCUAUCCUGAUUUCAUGGGUGUUAUUAGGCAUUUUGAAUCUCAUUGGCUCGUAUCUCGGCAGGAAGACGGGCAAUGAGAGUAUAUAGCAUGUUCUCUAGCGAUGUUAACCUUUUUUCCAGGUUUGUUUCCGAGCUUGAGCUAGGUUUUUUUAUCUUUCCAGCUCCAGUGGAACUGACAACUAAGUUC
rnacentral:lncRNA from 1 species